GCAAGCUGAGCAAGCCAGGGGAAGCAAGCCAGUAAGUAACAUCCUUCCAUGGCCUCUGCAUCAGCUCCAGCUUCCUGACCUGCUACAUUCCAGUCCUGACUUCCUUUGGCGAUGAACAGCAACUGACAAACAGCAAUGCGACACUAUGGGAGACUCAUGAGGUGAGUCGUCGUAGUCCCCGAGACAGAAUAUCUGUAAUCAUUCCCGGAUUGAAUAUAUUUCUGAUGAUCAGAAUGGAGGUGAGCAAUAAGAUGGCUUCUCCGUCCUGUGCCCUCUUGCAACCAUCAUCUCACGGGGCCCACAGGAGGAGACUCCAACUCACUACCUGGCACUGGGCAUGAAGUCCCAUGCCAGGAGGCCUGCGAGGUGGCUACGGGGGCUUCCACAAGGAGGAAGGCUCAUGGACAGUCUAAGGAUAUAGAACCAAGAAAGAUUAUAGUUUGUCUGCUAAAGCUUCUCUCCUACAAUGCCAGAAACCAAGCCUCAAGAGCUUUUAAGAAAGAGGAGAAAAUAUAUCCCCAAGAAAAGGAAAGAUGAUGAGAAAACAUUUUAAAGAGAGAGAUACUGAACAGAUGGACGAAGAACAGAAGCCCAGAGGAAUUAGACAUGUCACAUGACAUGUGCACUUGGGGUUCAUGGCUACUUCUCUAAUUGUCCUAAGUGAUAUUUUGGGUUUUCUUCAGCAUGUUAGAGUCAUCCCUUGAUUCUGCAUUACACGUCACGGACACGCUCUGGGUUCCAGUUGUAAUAAACUUCAGAAAUCAUAAAAUGUCCCUUGUAAUACAAAACCACUCUCAGCAGCAGACUGUUGCAUAAACAUUCAUGUUAGAGCAAAGGCAUCACUAGAGUUUCAGUUUGGCCUUGAAACUACAAGGUUUUUUUUUUUAAAUCACUGGUAUGUGUUUGUUUGUUUUUAAGUUUUGCUCUUUCAUAGAGAAAGUGUUUUUCAGUCAUUCAAACUUGCUAUUGAUGAUCUGUUCCGUCUUGCUUAAGACACCAUGAUUGUUUAAACAACAUGCACUUGAUAAAAUUGUGUAGUACAAUCAA